AUGUGUGUCCCAAAGGAUCAAGGAGGUAUGAGUUUUUGCAAUAUUCAUUGUUUUAACCUAGCGAUGCUGGCAAAUCAGGCUUGACGUCUUCUCAAGAAUCCAAACUCCUUAUGUGCCACUAUUUUGAGAGUGAAAUACUUUUCUGAUGGUGAUUUACUGAACACUAAGUUGUAGAAGGGAUUGUUGCUCACCUGGAAGAGCAUCAUGGAGGGUGUGAAUUCGCUGAAACAUGGCUAUAUUUGGAUAGUUGGAAAUGUUCAGAAUAUUCAUAUUUGGGAGGAUGCUUCGAUCCCAAAUUGUGCUGAGAGAGAAGUCAUCACUCUUAAAGGAAACCAUCUGAUAUCUCGAUCCCAAAUUGUGCUGAGAGAGAAGUCAUCACUCUUAAAGGAAACCAUCUGA
rnacentral:rRNA from 1 species